CAGUCGCCACGGUAAAACGGAGGGUGCAAGCGUUAAUCGGAAUUACUGGGCGUAAAGCGCACGUAGGCGGCUUGGUAAGUUAGAGGUGAAAGCCCGGAGCUCAACUCCGGAAUUGCCUUUAAGACUGCCGAGCUAGUAGGUGAGAGAGGUAAGUGGAAUUCCGAGUGUAGAGGUGAAAUUCAUAGAUAUUCGGAAGAACACCAGUGGCGAAGGCGGCUUACUGGCUCAUUCUAGACGCUGAGGUGCGAAAGCGUGGGGAGCAAACAGGAUUAGAUACCCCAGUAGUCCCUGUCUCUUAUAC
rnacentral:rRNA from 1 species